AGCGAACGCUGGCGGCAGGCCUAACACAUGCAAGUCGAACGAACCCUUCGGGGUUAGUGGCGGACGGGUGAGUAACACGUGGGAACGUACCCUUAGGUUCGGAAUAACUCAGGGAAACUUGAGCUAAUACCGAAUGUGCCCUUCGGGGGAAAGAUUUAUCGCCUUUGGAGAGGCCCGCGUCUGAUUAGCUAGGUGGUGAGGUAAAGGCUCACAAAGGCUACGAUCAGUAGCUGGUCUCAGAGGAUGCCCAGCCACACUGGGACUGAGACACGGCCCAGAGCCCUAUGGGAGGCCGCGGUGAGAAUUCUUGCGCAAUGGUCGAACGCCUGACGAGGCCAUGCCGCGUGGAUGAACGAGUUCCUAGGAUUGUAAAUUCCUUUCACCGGUGAAGAUAAUGGCGGUAGCCGGAGAAGAAGCCCCGGCUAACUUCGUGCCAGCCGCCGCCGUAACAC
rnacentral:rRNA from 1 species